rnacentral:rRNA from 1 species
UCAGAUUGAACGCUGGCGGCAUGCUUUACACAUGCAAGUCGAACGGCAGCACGAAAGAGCUUGCUCUUUUGGUGGCGAGUGGCGAACGGGUGAGUAAUACAUUGGAACGUACCGAGUAAUGGGGGAUAACUGUCCGAAAGGAUGGCUAAUACCGCAUACGCUCUGAGGAGGAAAGCGGGGGACCUUCGGGCCUCGCGUUAUUCGAGCGGCCAAUGUCUGAUUAGCUAGUUGGUGGGGUAAAGGCCUACCAAGGCGACGAUCAGUAGUGGGUCUGAGAGGAUGAUCCGCCACACUGGGACUGAGACACGGCCCAGACUCCUACGGGAGGCAGCAGUGGGGAAUUUUGGACAAUGGGCGAAAGCCUGAUCCAGCCAUGCCGCGUGUCUGAAGAAGGCCUUCGGGUUGUAAAGGACUUUUGUCAGGGAAGAAAGGGUUUGGGUUAAUACCCUGAGCUUAUGACGGUAC